rnacentral:rRNA from 1 species
UCCGACCUGCACGAAUGGCGUAAUGAUGGCCAGGCUGUCUCCACCCGAGACUCAGUGAAAUUGAACUCGCUGUGAAGAUGCAGUGUACCCGCGGCAAGACGGAAAGACCCCGUGAACCUUUACUAUAGCUUGACACUGAACAUUGAGCCUUGAUGUGUAGGAUAGGUGGGAGGCUUUGAAGUGUGGACGCCAGUCUGCAUGGAGCCGACCUUGAAAUACCACCCUUUAAUGUUUGAUGUUCUAACGUGGACCCGUGAUCCGGGUUGCGGACAGUGUCUGGUGGGUAGUUUGACUGGGGCGGUCUCCUCCUAAAGAGUAACGGAGGAGCACGAAGGUUGGCUAAUCCUGGUCGGACAUCAGGAGGUUAGUGCAAUGGCAUAAGCCAGCUUGACUGCGAGCGUGACGGCGCGAGCAGGUGCGAAAGCAGGUCAUAGUGAUCCGGUGGUUCUGAAUGGAAGGGCCAUCGCUCAACGGAUAAAAGGUACUCCGGGGAUAACAGGCUGAUACCGCCCAAGAGUUCAUAUCGACGGCGGUGUUUGGCACCUCGAUGUCGGCUCAUCACAUCCUGGGGCUGAAGUAGGUCCCAAGGGUAUGGCUGUUCGCCAUUUAAAGUGGUACGCGAGCUGGGUUUAGAACGUCGUGAGACAGUUCGGUCCCUAUCUGCCGUGGGCGCUGGAGAACUGAGGGGGGCUGCUCCUAGUACGAGAGGACCGGAGUGGACGCAUCACUGGUGUUCGGGUUGUCAUGCCAAUGGCACUGCCCGGUAGCUAAAUGCGGAAGAGAUAAGUGCUGAAAGCAUCUAAGCACGAAACUUGCCCCGAGAUGAGUUCUCCCUGAGACUUAGAGUCUCCUGAAGGAACGUUGAAGACGACGACGUUGAUAGGCCGGGUGUGUAAGCGCAGCGAUGCGUUGAGCUAACCGGUACUAAUGAACCGUGAGGCUUAACCUUACA